GUCACUAAAAGGAUUUUAUUAAAAAAAAUUGAAAUAAUUGUACUAAAAUCCCAUAUUUUUUUGCCCAAAAUACAAGAAAAGCUCAAUACAUUAGACCUAAAUUUAUAUUCUUAUUCAACCACAAAAAAUAACACUCAUUAUAAGGAAAAUUGUCAAAUACAUUACAAAUGUUUAACAAAAACAUAUCGCUAAGAACUAUUUAUCGGAUUAUAAAGUGGUUUGUUCAAAUGUCUCAAAAUGGCCGCCAUUUUCUUGUAAUUGUGUUUGUCGCACAUCCAUUUCAGAUUGUCUUUCAUGCAACUGCAAAUCAAAUUGAGUGCUUCCGCACCACAAUCGACACAACAAGAAUAACCCAUACAUAUAUUGGUAAAAAGGUGAAUCAUUGUUUUAUUAAGGAUGUUAGUUGCAUAAAUUGGCGAAAACAUAAAACAUGGUUUUUUAAAUUAACUAAAAAUAUAAGUGAAACAUAAUUGAAUAUAUACCUUUGCAGACACUUCAAAUUAUUUUUGAUAAAUUUGAUUUUUUGGAUUCUGCAACAUGAAAUAAAUAAUUUAUUACACUGCUAACACCAAAUAGAAAAAUAUACAUACAUACAUGAUGUGUUGGCAUCAUUAUACAAGCAUAUGAUAGUUUAAAAGCAAAUGAAGCUAACAAGAUAUGCCUAGUGAUCGUUUAUGUUCCGUGAUGAAAUUGAAUCUUUUACAAUUAACAUGCUUAAAAUAGAAAAUAGUUUAAUAGCUUUGACAACUUCACAUUUUUAAAAGAGUGAACACAAUUUAUCAGCAUAAGUUCCUAACAUUUAACAUAGAAGGAGAACUAAAAUUGCCAACAAUAGCUUAACAUCUUAACACUUUGUCUAAUAACAUUGUUUUGAACUAAAUAAAUAGUUAAAACAUAAACAAACACCCAACUCUUGUUGUUGACAGUAAACACCCAUUAAGGUUGAACAACACACAACCAAGGUUUAAAAAACUGAAAAAAAAAUGUUUCAAUCACAUUGAAAUAUGUAUAAAUCGAACCUUGAGACAAACAAUUUUGACUAAUCGACACAUUGACCACAAAUCAAACAUAUCUUAACAGUUAACAGGGGAAGAAAAGUACAGAACUACCAACGAAUAUGCCGAGGACUGAUUCGUGAGGUACUAACCUUCGCAAAUGACGAGGAGUGUCGGAGGUACUCUGGAGAAGCAGACGACGUCGGAGGAGAAGGAGCCGACUCUGAAUCGAUUAACACCAUAUCCCUAAACAUUAAUUUUAGGGCUAUUAGAAGGUGAAUAGGACAAUUAUAAUUACAAAGGGUGUACAUCAGGACAUCAAAAUACAUAUUGAUUUCUGGAGAAGAUAAACUUACCGGGGAGGAAGACGCGGGUGGAAAAGGGGAGGCUAAUGAUGGAUGAGGGUGGCGCUGGAGGUGGUGGUGUGGGAGGAACCGACGAGAGAGACAUGAACCGUUAUCGUUUUUCCCUUUACCUACUCCAGCAAAUCGAACUUGAAGGGGAAGGGGGUGAGAAGCACGCACCUGGACCUGGUGAUCGAUUUAUGGAAGAGCUCUCAUUCCCGGUUUUCUUUGAUGGAUUUUCAUAUUAUUUUUUUUUUCCGAUUUAACGCCUGCAAAUUGGAUUCUACCAAAGGGAAAUGAGGUCAAAUGGGGAUAAA
rnacentral:lncRNA from 1 species